GAGGGAAACACGGUGAAUCGAUCGAUGUUCUUGCUAUUAUUUAUAAAUAUAUAUAUAUAUUAUAUUGUUUUGGUACAGGAAUUGUCGGUUUUUAUUAUUAUUAUUAUUUUUUUUUUUUUAUUUUUCCCCGAAAGACCACGGGUAACGUUCCGUGACACCUAGCCGCCUCCCGCAGCAGUAUACCUGUACCCACAACAAACGACAACGACGACAACAGAGCCCGCCGGUGUGGGAGUUCCAAAUUAUCCGAAAUUUAUCACAAUUAUUGAUUGUUUCUAGUUCGACCAAUUGGUCACGCCGGUGU